CUUACAAGUAUGGACCUAAAUGUGCCUUUGAUUGCGGACAUUGUAAAGAUGGAGUUCCUUGUUCACCAGGGAAUGGAAGCUGUCUAAGUGGUUGUGAAGAUGGAUGGGGAGAUAUAUCUUGCUUGAAAGCAUCAUCAAGAUCGGAUAGACAGGGGUCCAUCACCACCGACAAAAGUCCCAACACAGAACUGUACGUAACUAUUGGAGUUUUAUCAACACUUCUCACUAUAAGCGUGGUCGUGGUCAUAAUUCUGGUAUAUAUAGUCCGUAAACAGAACCGGCAACCCUCCCAGCAGCAUGAUAGCAAUCCACCACAAAGCUUUGUUAAUCAUAUAGAAAUGGAGGAAACACAUGAUUACGAUAAACUAUGAGUCAGAGAUACGGGUGAGUACCAAGAACUACCAACCGUUGUUGCUGACCAACUUCCACAGGAGAGACAUGCGUCAGACUCAAACUAUAUUAACUCAACGUUGCAAUAACAAUGAUAUUGCAGAGUUUCCAAAUAUGGAGUCUGAAACUUGUAAUUAAACUUUGAACCAUACAUGCAUUAUUUCUGUCAAAUGAUCAAAAUAGAGCUUUAACGUAGUUCCACACUCCUGUGACGUCAUAGGAUUUUGAAAAGUCAAUGAUUUAAUGAUAGGAACAUAAAUUUUGUUGGAAUCUUUUUCAAAUGUUAUUGUAAAAAAUCUUGUUAGCCAUAAAAUAUUUCAAAAUUCUUAGUUAUAUUUGAAUAGUCAAUGAUAUGUUUCAAAAUAUUGAAUCCAAGGACAAUAAUUCUGUUUUCAUUCAAUUAUUUAUCCAGUCCAUAAUGCGAUAUAUUUCCUUUAUUUUUUACAAACAUUUUACCAAGGUGAUAAGGAAUCAUUAUCUGUGUCUUUUCAUGAAAUUACAUAAAAUUGUAAUACCGAGUGAUUUUAAAUAGAUCAGCUGUAUGGUGCCAGACUUCAGUUUUUGAUGGGGGUAUACAUGAAGCUAUAGAUUUGAAAUUAUUAAGGGAAGGUAUGGAUUUUUUCCCCAUGAAUAACCAUAACAGAUGUAACUCUACUAAUAUAAACAGAAAAAAUGAUAUGUAAACCAUGCUAUAAGGAAAAUGCGUCCACAUUUGUGUGUUUUUUAACAUUUUGGGGAAUAACGCUAAUUCAAUAAUUUUGCACAUAUUAUUCUAAAACUUGAUGAACAUAUUGAAAAUGACAUGUGUUUUAGUUAUUGACAUGUUUCCCGAUAAAUAAAUGCAAUUAAAAAAAUAUUUUGUUGUUUUUAUAUUAAAAUAACAACAAAUAACUGUUUCCAAUGAAUUUCAUAAAAAUCUACAUCGGGGUAUAUGACUUUAGUGGUGUAUGUAAUGAAAAUUAAUAUGGAAACCCUUAACUGUUUUGAAUUUUUUCAUUACUCUGAAUGUUAAUUUAUUGAUUCCAAACAAAAAAAAUGCUACCUAAACCCCAAAAAUCCAGGACUAAGGACCCACCUUAAGUUAAAACAAUGUGAAACACACUUUAAUCUAUGACAACAUACUAUUGGUUUGGGGUGACUGAUCUCUAAUGCGUGAUGUUUUAAGGGAUCGUUGUGCGAUGUAUUAAGGGAUCGUUGUGUGAUGUUUUAAGGGAUCAUUGUGUGGUGUUUUAAGGGAUCGUUGUGUGAUGUUUAAGGGAUCGUUGUGUGAUGUUUAAGGGGUUUUUGCUCGUUCUACAAUUAAUUACGAGAUUUGCAUUCAUUUUUUUAUCUCUUUUGUAACAAAAAUAAAAUUGCAUAUCCAUGA